AACAGCAAAUUACUCUACUAUUAAUAUAGAUUAAUAAUGUUAAGAAUAUAUUUAAAUUUUUCAAAGGAUAUUUCAACGCACGAGUUAUACCUCGUUAAUUUCUAUUUACAUGAAACAAAUAUUCUUACAAAAAUCAAUCAAAAACGGAGAGUAAACGGAAGUUUCUCGAUAUUUGCAUGCAAUUACCGCUAUGCAGUUUUCCCUUAUUUCCACUCCCUUAACAUGACAUUUUAUUUUAUAUCGAAUAACGUUUAAUAAACUCGAUCCUCGCUUCUUUAUCCCCCGACAUAAAGUAAGCGUGAAGAUAUUUUGCUUUACACAAAAUAGACACGUAAUUUCCUAAUAAAUCUCGACCAGAUUAAAAUAAUAUCGAUUAUCCGGCGAGAGAAUAAAAACUUUGUACUUUUUUCUCGAUACAAAAAGUUGUAUCUCUGGAAAAUAUAUUAUAACCAGCAUUUAAGCUAUUAACGUGUCGCGUGCUCGAAACUUGAGAAACUUUUAUUCCAAAGUUUACUUAUGAAUCCCUGUUUUACAAUAGUUUCAUAGAUUUGUCAAAAAUAUCGUAUCAAUCAUGCGUUCCUGGUCCCAGGAAUCAAAAUAUCUUUCGCUGCAAUUUCCCUUCGUAUCGUAAAAUCGAUAAUGCAAAUAAAUAAAGAGGAGUGAAUCAAAGAAACAUUCGAAUGAACAUGCAAGAUACACAAUAUCCAAACUUCCAUCGGUUCUUCCACUCGUCUUGACGUCUAGUCUUCGCGAAAGAGAAUCGAUCAAACACUGCACUUCCCUUCCUCACAAUCCAGUCCAACUUUCUUAUCCCCCUCCUCUCUAAAAUAAAAUCCACAUACGAAACGAAAUUUCUAUUUCACGAACAGAAUUCGCGAUGGAAGAUAUUAGAUGGGGCAAAUUUAUCGAACGUAAACAUCAUUUUCCGGCUCAAUAAUCCGUUAAUCAUACUUUGAAAAAAAUUCUUCGUUCCAGGCGAUCGAGGAAAAGUUAAAAAGAAAAUAAUCGAAGAUCAUCAAAGGAAAGAUAAAACAGUGUACGACUUCGAAAACCGAUCGAAAUGGGCAGUUUAUUUUCAACCAACCGGCAAUCAGGAAACGGUUCGAAGAAUCUUCGAAUGACUUUCCGAUUGUUCGCCGAUUGAAUUUCACGCGAACGUGACCGUGUUAAAUUCUCCUCUCGUUUAAUGCAAUCUUAAACCGGCGAUCCAACGAGCCGACCCAGUCGUUUCUUCCUAAUAAAUUCACGCAGUCUCGCACACGCGAUUCCAUCCGGGUGGAAAGGCGGUGACACGCGGUUACGAUCGAUCGAACAGUUGAAAUUUCCACGCAUUCUGCCGCGGGCAAGCAACGAUCAAGCUGCGGUUUCUAUCUAUGGGUUCGCAUUCCGGGUUAAACUCUGUCCGUUUCCACUCGCUCGGCCCCAUACACGAUCGAUAGUUGUACGUUUAAUUAAAGCGGGCUAAAAGGGGAACGACGUGAAAUCGCGGCAAAAAGUGAGGGUCGGCACUUGGUGGCUCUUUGAACCGUGGCGACUUCAUCGAUCAUCUUGUAAUUGGAGAGAGGAUACCUCUCCGCAUUUUUCACCGUCUUUCUCGCCGCGGUUAAGCUUCGAUCCUGUUUACGGUUCUUUUUCCCAAUUAGCGACGUGAGAGAGGAUUCGUAGAUCGAAAAAGGGGGAGAUUAUUUGCGAUCUUCGAUCUUCCAUCUCCGCGAUUUAUCGCGCGUCGUAAAUUUCUCUCGAUGCUGUCUGAUCGAAAAAAGUUAAUAUAUUCGCGGAGCGAUUCUCGAAGAAUUUGUUGAUUCUGGGGGUUAAAACAAACUUGGAAAGUUGGCGUGCAAAAAAAUGUCGGGGGUUUUUACUCAUCGAUCGAAGUUAGACGAAGCGAAACACGGAUAAACAGCGCUCUGUUUCUACCUCUCCUCGUCUAAAUGAAGUUUGUUUUUUAAAUAAAUCAUAAUGCUUUGUACGUUUUCGCAAAGCAUGUGCAUUUCUGCGCAUUUAAAUUUUGCAUAAAUGCAUAAAUGCAUUCACAAUCUCAGGUAACAAAACUAAUGAACUCGUUAAAAUGAUCCCAGUUAUGAAUUUAUGAGAACAUAAGUAUUUAUUCGUUUUUUUUAUUCAAUAUCAUUAAAUUUUGAUUUUCUUUUGAGAAAAUGAUUUUAAAAAAUGAAAGUUCUUAUUCGUAGAAUCAAUUAGUUUCGAAUAUUUAAAAAAGAUCCGCCAGUUUUGUAUCGCCUUGUACAUAGUUUCCUGCAUACCUCCUUUUACUUUUACUGUAGAGGUAUUUCGGAUCAAGGUCAAGCCUAGAAUGCCUCGAGAGAGCAAACGAACGGAACUAUUUCAAACUAUCUAAAUGAUCUCCACAAGUAAUUAAUUCCUGUGAUUUCAUCCCACAGUGAUUUUAUUAGAUUAUUGGAAUAUUAAUGUUAGCAUUAUAUUAGCAUAAACGUAAUAUGCAUAUCGAUUUAUAGAACAUUAUUUUAUUAAUUAAUUUCAUUGAUCAAGUUGAUUGUAAACUUUUAAAGUUACAAUUACGAUUAAUUCGAAGAGCAGUUUCUUGUUGCGUGCGAUACACUUGCUUGAAAUUUGGUAACUUUGAAACGGGUCAGAUUUAACCCGAAUCGAAACCUUUCGAGAACGAAAGUGAUCCGACGUUCGAUACGGUCUUAAGUCGCGUUCCUAUCUCGGUUGUGCAAUCGUGGCCACGAAAUCACGCGAAUAGAAUAUUCAUGAGUUACCUUGAAAAGAGGAACUGCGAUAGACACUUGCAGGCAAAGAGAAUAAAGAAAUUUGGCGGGAACGUUCAAUGUUUAUUUAAUCCGUGUACCGAUGGAAAGUUUAAAGUUUUAUUGAUAUCCACAUUUUUUUUUUCAGGAAAUAGAAACGCUUUAAAUAUUGAAGUACUUGAAGAAUCAACGAUGUAAAAUUUCAAUACGACGAAAUGAUAAAUGCGAACUCGAAAGGACAAGAUAAGGAAAACAAGACAAACAUCUUAACAUGGAAAAAUUCUGGUGUGUCUGGAAAUUGGAGCAUUUAAAUACCUAUUCGGGAAGACAAUUGCACACUGAUAAGAUCCGAAUAUGUACUCGAUUUCGUAUAUUGGCCCCUGAUCUAACGAAGUCUCGUUCUCAAAUAUAAUCAGAGAAGGAAAUCGCUUGUUCUUCGAGAGAGGAAUAUUCGCUUUGGCGAGCGAUAGAAAGAAACAGGGAUCGCAUACGGUUCGAUUGUUCGCCGCGUAAAUAUCCCACGUUGAUUCGUUUUCACACACGUUCCACGCGCGAGGAAAGUAAAUCGGUAUUCCGGCGUUCCUCCGCGGCGACGUGACAACGUUUCACGUUGAAACAAAGUGUCGUGGAACGGCGGCGAAGUAGAAAUCGUGAGAGAUUAUCCUCUGUCUUAAUUAACUACCAACUUACGUGACUGGGGGAGAGAGAGGAGGCGAUCGCUUUCGAACGAUCCCAACCUUUCGUUCGGAAAAUAAAACGAAGACGUUUUCUCAAGAAUCGAGUGUGCAACCUUAACUCGAGUUGCACCGUUUGGUUCGCUGAACAAUACUCGUUAUUCUCUUAAUUAUCGCGAUACGAGGAGAUACGGCGUUGAAUACUCGUCGGAGAAUAAAUGUAAAAAAAGGAUACAUUUAUUGUCACCAUCCAUCAAAAAAAUAAUAAAUUAUCAAGCAAAAGUGAAAUUCCUAAAUUACAUCGAUGCGUUGAAGAAUUCUUACUCUCACUUUCGAAAAUGAAAUAACGUAAUCGUCAAGAUUAAAGAGCUUUUGUGAAAAAUCUCGUCGUCCAUCUUAAAAAAAAGAAUCUUCAAAAAACACGAGAGACGAAAAGUUACACGUUUUUAACGACGAGUCGAAAAAAAUCCGAGAAAAGAUCCGAGAUGGAGCGCCACCGCCACCAUUUCCGGUCACCAUUUCUCACGGCCGAAGGAAGGUAAAUCGUCGUUGCGUGAAACACGAGAGGGCGCGAUUGUUGCGGCGCGUCCCGUGAUGAAUUUCACGGCCGGGAAUAAAGAAAGGCCGGGAAGAGAGGGAAGAAAAGGAGAAGAGGAAGAAAAACGGUGAAAGAUGAGGCCACCGAAUCGAGUCGAACGCCGGGUCUCGCGAGCACUCUGAGUGCGUUUCCUGUCGGUCGAACGCACUCAGGAAAUUGUACCGAUUCCUCGUUUUGUUAACCAUCGACAAUAAUGUCGGCCAAGGAACUUAGAAAGGUUUCUUAUUGCUAUUGCAUUAGGUGCUCGUGAAGGGUUUCAGUUUUUCAUCGAACGAGAGGAAAUAUUUAGAGAGGAGUGUGGAGGAUGAAGAGCGAAUUAAUUCUUUCCAAGCGAACUCUUAAUAUUUUUACCUUUGGAAUACUUUAUAAAACAGGAUUUAACAAAGGAUAUCGCUGCGUUUAAAUAUAAUAUAAUUUGUACUGAAAAAUAGUACAAUAAUUCAAACAAUUUAGAUAACAAUGAACUUGUUCGUCAAUUAAUGUUUGGUUAAUUUGUUGUUUCAAUUUGAUCAAUUGGAUUGUUUAAUAAACAUCGUACGAUUAAUUGAUUUUUUCAGCUACAAAAUCCAGUAAUAUACCGAUAUUUGAUGAAUAUUCCAUAUAUAAAAUAUCAAAAAUAACAAAAUGAUUCUGUUUUUCAGUUCGAAAGCUGUGCAUUAUUAUUGGAACGAAUAAGAGAUGUGCACCAUUAAAUUUCAAAGGUUUUAAAUGGGACCAUCGAAGGGUUUUGAUCAUAUCGGUUGGACUUCUACAAUCGUGUCAAUUGACAUAAAAGUAGCAACGACAACGAGUAUUUAAAUCGCGCGACCCAACAUAAUCGAUAGCAGUGGACAGGAUUCACAGUGAUGAUGGGAUUAUCGUGUGUUCAUCGAACACUUAACGCGACGUAAUGUUUUGAAAUUUGAUAAUCGAAUUAAGCACUCGAUUCGAAUUCAUCUUUUUACAGGGGCACCGUUCUGAUUCGACACAUUUGUGUUGUGAGAAAUUAUUCGAAGGAAGAAAGAAAAAAAAAAGAAAAGAAAGAGGAAGAAAAUCAGAAAAAAAGAGGGAACGAAACGGUGGGUGCGAAUAAAAAAGUGGAGAGAACUGGAAUAAAUCGUGUCUAUUGUCGCGAAGUAGAUCGAAAAUUAAUUACUGCUCGACAGCCGUGUAAUUAGUAAUUUCGUUCCAAGGGACAAAUUAUUCGCGCGAAGGAAAAAAAUGAGCUGCGGUGUUUAGCCAACAUGUAACGAGAGAGAGAAAGAGAGAGAGAAAAAAAAGGAAACGAACAAUCGGAUGUAAUUAACUCUCGAUGAGAUGUUUCCCCAAUUACGCUUCGAGCGUAGCCCGAAUCAGCUAAUUACUUCCUCAAAUUGCAUAUUUUUUUCUCUCUUUAACAGUUGCUUUUGACAAUUAUGAAAAACAAUAUGCGAAGUUUCCUUUCAAUAUUGCGUACAUGUUCAUCACAUGUUUUAAUCGAUUAACAGAUAUAUUUGAGAAGUUAAUUUGUUUAAACUGUUGAUUAAUCAUCAUUGAAAAUUUCGCUCGUAAUAUUAGACGAAGAGUUCCGAAUCGAUUAUUUCAUUCGAAUUCGAAUAAUUAUCACUAAUUGCCGAAGAAGGAUUUCUUACGAGAUUAAAUUAAAGUAUUUCGAUCGUAAUCCAAUAUUUAUUAUUAACAAUCCGAAGAAAAUUGUCCUGAAGAAAACUAUGAGUCAAUGAUAGAAAAAAAAAAAAAGAAAACAAAAUGGUCAAUGGAACGAAGAGAAACUUUACGAAACAUUGAACGAAAUCGAGUUGGUCCCCCGUUGGAUCAAUGUUUCAACCCCCUUGGGAGGGUUGGAAAGACCAAGCGUAAAAAGACAGGGCUCCGCCGGGUGUUAUGAUUUAGAGGACGUAGAUGACACUUGUAAAGCGGCCAUUGUUCGACCCGACCCUUUUUGCAUGGCGGUUCCAUGGCGAUCCAUGGUGAUCCCCGAGCGAGGGGAUCCUAUUUUGCAAAUACCGCGCUAACGACUGGAAAUCAACGAAACAGGGCCACGGGCGGGUGAUUUAUCGUAUCCUGUUGGCGGAACGAUGCAUCACCCGUGGAAUAUCGGGCCGAAUAGAACUGAAUUUCCUUCGUUUGCAUAACUCACAACUUACGCCAGGUUGGGAUUUUUAACGCGAGCUGAACCGUGCGUAAAAAAAAAAAAAAAAAAAAAAAAUAUCGCCAACGAUAUUCCACUCCCGCUUCGAAUCUCUCGUUAAAAUAAAUAAUUUUCGACCGUGUUAUAAAAAUUGUUAUAAAAACGCGAGUGAAAAGAAUCCUAUUCCUGUUAAAUCGUCCUGGAAAAAAGAAGGAAGCGAUGAUGCGUUGAAACAUUGUUAAUGUUCUAUUUCUAUUUUUAAAUUUUACGUUGAGAUAAUUUUAUCGAAGUUGUUUCGUUUGUAUAAUUUUCAACUACGUUUACUACGGGAUGUUUCAACGCCAAACGGGACGGUCUGUAGAAAAAGUUAUUUUAUUUCCGUUAAAUUGCUGUAAAAUGGAGCGUAAUGGACGUGUAAAAAAUAUUUAUCGCCGAUGUUCCAUCAUUAUUUUGAAUCUUUUGUUUCGUGUUAAAUUCUAUUGAAACUCUUUCGUUCGAGUAAUUUUCAAACCGUGUUGGAAUACUCUUUUUAACGCCGGUGAAACGAUCUGUGAAAAGAGUCAUUGCAAACUCUUUAUCUCUGUAGAUUGUUAUAAAUGUCACGGGUAUUUUAUUUCUUUUAGAUCGUAAUUAAAAAUGUUAAAAAAUGUUUCGUCUUUCUUGCUUGUUUAUCCUUGAAAUAUGAUCUUGAAAAAAAAAAUAAUCCCGACGAGGAAGAGAGGAAGAAUCGACGAUAAAAGGAAAAAGAAAAAAAAGGUCAAAAUGAUCGAAUCUAAUGAAGCGAUUAAUAUAAAUUUCAGUAAUCAAGAUGCCUCGAUAUAGAUGUAAACGAGAGUUGUACAUGUAUCGUGGUACAGAGAGAAUGGUGGAAAAAAAUUAGCCGAGGAACCCGAGCCGAGCUUUAAUUAAACAAAACUCGACCCGACCAACUAUUCGGUGUUCGUUCACAUUUUUAAAUUCACGUGAAUUUCCUGUCGUGGUCCCCGCGACACAGUGAUGCGACUUGGCUUAAUGCUCGCGCUGUGAAAUAAAGCGUGAAAAAGCGAAUAUCACAUCGCUUACGAAUCAUGAAAAAAAAAUCACCUAUAUAAUCCUGUUGCUUUAAUAAUUCCUGAAAAAAUAUAUUCGGAUAAUUUCUAAAAAAAAAAAAGAAAAGAAUGGCCAUUCACGAAUGUCAAAAUGAUAUUUUAACCAGACGAAAUAAUCUCGUCGAUUCGUUCGAUGGCGAAAAAAUAUUCGGAUAAUAAAAUGAAUAAAGAAGAAACGUUUGAUAAUAUCAAAGGUUAAGAGUGCAUACAUCCGUUAUUCUUUCAAGAGACUAUUUGUAAAAAGACUUAAUUACUUGGAAGUCCAAUUAUUUUAAACAUUAAAAAAAAGAAAAAAAAAGAAGGCCAUUCUAAUAUCUCUCAUUUUCUCUUUCUCUCCUCUUCGGGAUAAAUUUUUCAACUCUCUAACUGUACGCGAUUAAAAAGAAUCGUUCGAGUUACUUAAUUUGAUAAAAGCUAUCCGACUAAUAGAAAAAUUAAUACCUUCCAUUUAACAGACCAUUGAGAGGCUCUUUUUUCCCGACCUAAUGGUCGUUUCAAAAAGAUUAAUUUCCCUGUAUCGUUUAACUACAGCGAGAAUAUCUUAGUUGAAUCCUUUUGGAGAAAAUAUCUUGUACACCACACCGUUUGAAUAUACGCGACGUGCGAUGAAAAACCGUGAACAACGCGAUAGAUGUUUUCGAAUGAUGAGCAAUCAUUAAAAAAAAAAAAAAAAAAAAAGGAGUACGCAGAGAUAAGGUAACAAUCGUCCAAUUUGCAAGAUCGAGUUACGGCGGAAACUGUACCCGAAUAAAAGGGUUUUCCGUGGAAAUAUAGGGAUUUUUUUUUUUCGCGUGCAUGUAACCGACCGUGCACGCGUCUCGCACACACAUGUACACACGGCUCGGCUUAACAAAAGGGAAGCGCGUGAUAAAUCUGGUAGGGAUAGUGAAGGGGGUUAAAAAUUAACCUGGUUGAUGCUGCUCGCCCUCCAUAUCCCGGUUAUUUAUCAUGAUCUACAGUUUAUUGUUCCUAGGGAAUUUGCUGGGAAGUAGAAUUCAUCUCUAACGCGUGCCAGCAUGAAGGAAUAAACGAGAUUAAUCGAGUACAAUUUACAGGGAAAAUUUGAUAUUAAUUGGAAAAUAAUAAUGGAACGGUUAAACUUUCAAUGAUAAAUGAGGCUGAGUGAAAAAAAUUCACAGUAAUUAUUUGAAGAUAAACUUAAACUUGUACUUAUUCCAAACCAAUUCCAAAUCUCAGAAAGUAUCGAAUAUCGAAAAUUGGCAUAUGAUUCAAAAAGAUCAAUAUCGAUCCUAGAGAAGUCUAUUCUAAUUAUCAUAUUCGUUGAUUACAGUUGAAACCCUCUGCAUCUGGAUUUCAUCGAAAAGGAGAGAGGUGAAAGAAGUCGACAUCGGGAAAGAGGUCGGUCUAGAUAGAUAUUCGGCCAUUCUGCUUUUUCCUCCCCCGGAAGGAGGAGAGAUCCUAUUUAAUUGUGAUUAACGCGCAACCGGAGGAAGCUACACUCGUAGAAAUAAAAUUAAAACGGAUAAAUACUGCGCACUGCGGUAUUCGCCGCGUUCCCAGAGGUGGUUGCACACACGCCACCCCGUGCACCCCACUUGAAACCACUCUGCGAACCACCCCUUCUCGCCGUUCUCUGUGUUCGCGUCCCUUUUUAACCCCGGCUUUGCCAUCCUCCUUCUUCUCCUCCUCCCGCCUUUCUGUCGCGCCCGUUCGAGACCGUGUACAAUGACGAGAACCUCUUCUUCUCCCGUAUUUUCGUGCGUUUCUCGUUUCUAGCCACCGUGAACGCCGACGACGGUGGCCACGAGUGAUAUCGAGCGGGCAAUUUCCGUGCAACGAUACCACGUGUAACGACACGAGGGCCGAAACGGGUUAUUAAAUCUUCAUAACCAGCUUGUUUUACGGUCAAGAUACCCUCAACCACCCCCCUUAAUCGCGUAACAAGAACGAUGCACCCACCGCGCGGCGCCACCGAGUCGGAGAAAGAUAAUUAGCGUUUCCUUUUUUUCUUAUUUCUUGCUCGAUUAACGUCGUUCCUUUGUUUUUCACAAUGGCUUCCUUUUAUUAAAAAUUGCUUAUCAUUCCAGCGGUAAAUUCAGAGGACACGGAAGAAUUCGAGAAUCUCGAGAAUAGAUAUUUUAAAUAAAUAUAAUAAUUUUUAUUUGAAAGAGGAUGGAUCUGGUAAAUUUUGUACACGCCAUUCAAAGUUUUUCUCAUUUCCAGUUUCACAUUGAAACUGCUCGAGCUCACGCAAUCAAAAUUUAUUAAUUUAAUAAGAUUCUAAUACCAGGAAAAUAGAACUUUAACUAAGAUUACUCUCGAGCAGUUUCUCUAAUUGCUAUAGAAAUGCCUAAGAUUUCCUUCUUUUCACUCGCUCCAAAACUCGAUCGAUAUUUCAAAAGUUCGUUGGAGCAAUUCGGUUUCUCUUUUUAUUUCAUCAAAGAAUAUUUCCCGAAUGAAACUAUCGACAGCCGAAGGAAGGAAACGUCGCGUGCAAGAAUCGUUCGAUUAUCGUUGAAAAUUUUUAAAACCCACGAUACUAAAAAAAAAAAAAAAAAAACCUUUCGAAACGAGCACAGAUUAUCGUCGGACGUGCAAACGUGGAAAAGCCACGAACCGCCAUCUUCCCCCGAAACGAAACGUCGUUGCACUCGAUUACUCGAUUACUACUCUGCCCUUUGGGAAGAGGUUACGAAGGUAGUGCAAUUUCGUGCAAUUCUCGCUGGUGUUCCCGGGGUCAAUUACGUCGAAACGUUACCGCACAAUACUACUCGACGAAGCUUGCACGCUGUAUACGCACCAUGGGGCCAAAUUAUGUCAGGUAUCGGCUACAUUAGGAAGCCAUUGUGUCUCGUGACCGAACGAGGCAUCGAACGUCCCGUGUAACCGGCUCAUUGUCGGCCCGGGGCUCGAAUAAAUCUUGAUAAUUAACCACGUCGAAUCGAUUCCCCUCUCGAACUAUGACCGAGAUUUAUUAUGGGACGAUCUUGAACAACAAGUGCAGCGGUAAUUGCAAAGGAUUGGCAAAAAAUUCCCUGAAUCGUCGAAGCAUUAUCUAUCGCCGGAGAGAGGGAUAUUUCCAAAGAUGGUGACUCGAAUGUGUAUCUUGAAAGAAGCGUUUUCCUUUUCCCGGAAAAGUCGGCGGAAUCGGCUUUGCUCGGAUACUUUUGACGGGAAUAAUCGUCUUCCAACGUUUUUCGGUUUUGUAGAGCUUCGAUAUCGCGGUUCCGCCGUACAAUAAGUAUCGUUUACGGAAAUUCUUAAGAGCGUUUUUUCACAGGGACCGGCUCUGAUGCUGGAAUAUCAUGGAAAAAGAUUCGCGAAAAUAGCGGGAGCAAGUAGUAAGAGUAUCAUCUCUUUUUUCUUUUUGGAAAUGGAAACGAGUUAAUGUGGAUGACGGAGAGUGUAAACGUCUCGGAACGAAAUGGGUGGAGAAUUGGCUGUGAACCGCGCUGCUCAACUCUUCGAAAUACAAUUUCCAAACUAAUGGAAGUACACUGUUUUUCAUUGCUGCCCGUAGUUCGUAGGGUGUAUUGUCUUUGGUCUGAAAACCGAGAGAGCAAGGGACACGUGGACGCGGAGAGCGUUUGCAUUCAUUAAUUACACACGGCCAUGAGCAUUAAGGCCAAGUUGGACACCAGCUAGAUUUCUAAUCAAGAUCUCUCGACGCGUGUAUUUAAAUUGAUUGCAAAACAGACACACGAUUAUUCACAGAUAUCUCUAUUCCCGCAAUACUCUCGAAUUCCAAUUAUCUAUCCGCGUGAUAUAAUUUAUCUGCUAAUUCUUAUACUCGGUGUUCGAACACAAACGUAUAAUUCUAUAAUAAUUGCAAAAAUAAUAAGAUGAAGGUAGAAAAUUUCUUUUCUUUCGUCCACAAUUUUAAUUAAAAUACGCCUUAUCUCUUUGAAAGAAAAAACAUUCGUCGAGCUCUUUGAACGGUAACAUAGCUGGAGAAGAGGAAAGGAGGACGACGAGGAGGGUUGUCGCGGAGGGAAAACAAGAGUGAGAGAUGCGUCGUCUUGGAGGCAAGCUUCAAAGCCGAAUCGCGAAGCCGAGGGAGAGCUGAUUAACCACGAAUAUUAGCGAACGAAGGAAAGGGUGGAGAGCGUAAAAUCGUAUUUCGUCCUUCCCUUUUCCCCUUCGAAUCUCUCGUUUGCCGCGUUUCAGAAAAAA
rnacentral:lncRNA from 11 species